GGACCAGCCACAAACCAUAAAGAUAUUACAACUGUUUUAGAAUGUUCCCCACUAAAUUCCACAAAAAUAUCUUCAUCGCCUACGAGAUAUUUUCCACCUACGUAUUUCCUUGUUUGCCUGAACCACGCAAAUGCAUACGCCACACCACGUAAACAAUCCAUAACCAAUAAAAUUUUUUUCGCAUAUAAAACUUAAAAAGAGUAUAAUAACAAAACCGUUCUGAGCUCUAAAUUUGUCCAAUUUUAUGUUAAAAUAUUACACCCAGCUACCUGCCUGCCUAACUUCUUUCUAUGCUUUUCUCAACAAGCUAAAAACUUCAACCCAGCCACCAGUGUUUUACAAUGCUAUUUCAUCAAAUUUUACCGCUCGUUUUCCCUGCACAAGAAAAUAGAGACUUUUCUCCUUUUCUCAGACGACGACGUUUGCAGUUUCAACCUUCUUUUCUUUGGCCGCUCAUAUUUACAGUUCCACCACCGUCUAGGGGUAGUGCAACUUUUCAGUCUUCACAAAGGACAAACGGCGGCGACUAUUCACUUUCCACGUAAGGCAAAUACAACUUCCAGAAGGAACUAGAAUGAAUCGUCCCACAAAUGACGCGUGUCUUUCCGCCACCUUCUCAUCUCACUCUCAUCGCAAUCGUUUUCUGUGGUAGCCACAUCUUACGUCACCACCCACUGUCCAUCUCCAAGCUCUCAUCAGAUAAUAAAUAUCCAAUCACCAAUCACAAAUAUUAAUCAUCAUUUCCCCAGCUCUAGCCACAACGGGUCGUCAUGCUCACUGUGCCCAGUCUUUCCAUCCAACGGCUCUGAUUUUACGUCGCACACAGGCUCAUCCUCCUGUGAUUGUUGUUGAUACUUACUCCCUUCUUGUUCCUCUUCCUCCUCCUCACCCCUUCUCACGCGCUUAACCCCAAUCGACACACCAAACAGCUUUGGGCUUACUCCCUCCUCUGCCGUCGCCGUCACAACUGCCUUUGUGCCACCACUAAUGGCCAUCUCAUCCGCCCGCGUCACCACCUUCGUCGAAGGCAACAAAUCUAAAGGCUUCCCCUCCGGCAAAUUGCUAUGACCAUCCAAUUGACCAGAGGCGUAAUUAGUCAUCAAUGCAACUAUAUUAUUACACAAGCCCUUCAACUGAGUUAACUCCUCUCUCAACUGCGCAUUUUCUUUCCUCAACCUCUUGUUCUCUUCCAGAAGCUCCGGUGUCGUAGUACAGUUUGUUGUUUGGAGAUUCGGAGUAGCACCCUG
rnacentral:misc_RNA from 1 species